GGCAUUAUGGUGUAGUGGUUAUCACAUCUGGCAAACACGCAAAAGGUCCCAGUUCGAGCCUGCAUGAUGUCA
rnacentral:tRNA from 1 species